AACGAACGCUGGCGGCGUGCCUAAUACAUGCAAGUUGAGCGCUGAAGGUUGGUACUUGUACCAACUGGAUGAGCAGCGAACGGGUGAGUAACGCGUGGGGAAUCUGCCUUUGAGCGGGGGACAACAUUUGGAAACGAAUGCUAAUACCGCAUAAAAACUUUAAACACAAGUUUUAAGUUUGAAAGAUGCAAUUGCAUCACUCAAAGAUGAUCCCGCGUUGUAUUAGCUAGUUGGUGAGGUAAAGGCUCACCAAGGCGAUGAUACAUAGCCGACCUGAGAGGGUGAUCGGCCACAUUGGGACUGAGACACGGCCCAAACUCCUACGGGAGGCAGCAGUAGGGAAUCUUCGGCAAUGGACGAAAGUCUGACCGAGCAACGCCGCGUGAGGGAAGAAGGUUUUCGGAUCGUAAAACUCUGUUGGUAGAGAAGAACGUUGGUGAGAGUGGAAAGCUCAUCAAGUGACGGUAACUACCCAGAAAGGGACGGCUAACUACGUG
rnacentral:rRNA from 1 species